rnacentral:rRNA from 1 species
UACGUAGGUGGCAAGCGUUAUCCGGAUUUACUGGGUGUAAAGGGCGUGUAGGCGGGGAAGCAAGUCAGAUGUGAAAGCCACGGGCUCAACCUGUGGCCUGCAUUUGAAACUGUUUUUCUUGAGUGCUGGAGAGGCAAUCGGAAUUCCGUGUGUAGCGGUGAAAUGCGUAGAUAUACGGAGGAACACCAGUGGCGAAGGCGGAUUGCUGGACAGUAACUGACGCUGAGGCGCGAAAGCGUGGGGAGCAAACAGG